ensembl:snRNA U6 U6 spliceosomal RNA
GUGUUCACUUUGGGAGCUCAUAGGCCAGAACUGGAAUGAAGAUAAGCAUGGCCCCUACACAAGGAUGACAUGCAAAUUUGCAAAGCAUCCCAUAUCUUA